AGACCCGAAACCCGGUGAUCUAGCCAUGGGCAGGUUGAAGGUUGGGUAACACUAACUGGAGGACCGAACCGACUAAUGUUGAAAAAUUAGCGGAUGACCUGUGGCUGGGGGUGAAAGGCCAAUCAAACCGGGAGAUAGCUGGUUCUCCCCGAAAGCUAUUUAGGUAGCGCCUCGUGAAUUCAUCUCCGGGGGUAGAGCACUGUUUCGGCUAGGGGGCCAUCCCGGCUUACCAACCCGAUGCAAACUGCGAAUACCGGAGAAUGUUAUCACGGGAGACACACGGCGGGUGCUAACGUCCGUCGUGAAGAGGGAAACAACCCAGACCGCCAGCUAAGGUCCCAAAGUCAUGGUUAAGUGGGAAACGAUGUGGGAAGGCCCAGACAGCCAGGAUGUUGGCUUAGAAGCAGCCAUCAUUUAAAGAAAGCGUAAUAGCUCACUGGUCGAGUCGGCCUGCGCGGAAGAUGUAACGGGGCUAAACCAUGCACCGAAGCUGCGGCAGCGACGCUGAUGCGUUGUUGGGUAGGGGAGCGUUCUGUAAGCCUGCGAAGGUGGCCUGUGAGGGUUGCUGGAGGUAUCAGAAGUGCGAAUGCUGACAUAAGU
rnacentral:rRNA from 1 species